CUAUCAACCCUGGAGAUUAAAGCCAUCUGUCUCGUCACAGAGCAGAUCCAGCACUGGCAGUGGCAGUGCAAGCUGACCCACAAAUGCCCUGCUGUUGUGUCUCAACAUCAAUCUGGAAGCACUGCCUAUAAUGAAGAGAUGCUAGGACAAUCCUCCUAGCUCAUUUAAGUCCAGGGCCCCA
ensembl:misc_RNA